GUGGGCGAGACUGAAAGAAACAAGUAUUUCUGGAAAAACCUAAAGAGAAAGCAAAACCCCAAACAGAAGAGAACAAGAAACCGCAGACACAUUUUGGUUUAGUCAAAUAUACAGAAAAUGGACGCCACUAAAAAUGCGAUAAGUGAUAUACUUGAGCACCUUUUGAGUGCAGAGUUCAAGAAGUUCGUCUGGCACCUGUGGAACGGUGUGGCAGGAGACAUCGAGCCGAUUCCUCGAGCGGCUCUGGAGAACGCUGAUCGUCAGGAUGUGGCGGAUCGCAUGGUGCAGAAGUACACCACUAACGCCGGGACUGUUGCAGUACAAGUGCUGUUCAACAUCAACCAGAAUGAUCUCGCAAAGCGCCUUGAAGUGAAACUUCAGAAAGCAAAUUCUACUUAAUAAGGAAGAAUUCAGCAGCAACCUUGAUCACCGGAGACGGUCCUUCUGUACAGUCGCAUCUACCUUAACCCAUUUAAUCCCACCGGUCACAAUAGUGACCGUAUAAAAGCUUUUAAUUUUCAUUUAUAAAGCUCUAAAAACCCUACUGACCAAUGUUUUAGUGCACUUCCUGCAAAUAUGGAAAAAAAUAAAGGGUCUCAAUUAAAUAUGUGCAGUUUCACAUGAUUAGUGCAGAUUGUCACAUGACCAGAGCAGUUUAUUUCCUGUUUGCACCUUGAGAAGAUGAAGACUGCAUCAAAGCUCCAAAACGAAUGGCUAGUAAAGUAUGUUAACAUAAAGAUAUGACAAAGAUUUUUGGUACACAUUAUAUUUAAGGUGUCUAGUAUUAAUAUAUGAAUUCACAUAUAUUUAGUUUUGUUGAGUGUGGUCAUAGAAUGAGUAAACACGUUGACGGUCACAAUAGUGACCGGUGGGAUAACAAUUAAUUUAGGUUUACAAUAUAAUCUGAUUGCAGUUGCUGGUGAAAAUUACAUGAAAAUGUUGCAAUUACAAAAUAUUACACUAAAUUAAAAGUUCAAAUGCAACAAAUAAAUUAAAAUAGUGAUGUUGUAAUACUGGUAGUACUAAAACAAAAAUUUGAUGACAUAUUUUACAAAAAAAAGUAACAAAUCUGAAAUGCGGUGAUGGUUGUAUUUUUUGUCUUUUAUCUCAGUGUUCCUAUUAAUGUUGCAUACAUUUUUUUUUUAUGCAUAAUAGCAACCCUAGAAUGUGGUCAAACAGUUUAAAAUAGCUGGGCUAAGAUAUAUAACUAUUUUUAUGACUGCAGAAAUAUGUUAAUUCAGUACACACGUUAUCCCACAAUUGUGACCGACCAUAAAAAAAUGUCAAAAAAUAAUUAUUGAUUAUUUCAAAGGGUUACUAAUGACACAUAAUUUAGAUAUGUUAAUGUCUGGGGAAAAAAAUGGGAUUAAAUGGGUUAAUGAUUAUUUAAAGUAUUUCAUUUAACUUGUUAUGCUGGCAGUGACCAGGGAUUUUGGGGAUUGAUAAAUAUGGAAUAUAUUUGGAGUGUGUGGUUGAGAUUUCACUGCUGUUCUUUUGUGAGUGAUAUUACGGGUUACACAUUUUUUAAGAUUGUAUUGUUAUCUGUAAUGUAGGUAUUAAUCGUCUUUCUGAGCAAAUCAGAAUGAUUGAAGGGUUUGUUUUUCAGUUUUAUAUUAAAUUUGUCAUGUUAAUAAAAUAAUCACAUCAUGUCUGUGUUACUACAGUACAUGACAAAAAUAAUAUAUUUGAACAAGAGCAGUGGUGAAACAGCCAUUCUCUCAUCUAAUAAAUGUGAUGUUGUUUCUAGCUGCAUUGUGUCUGUAUUGGUGGCUGUCGUGUGUAAGUGAUGUUUGGUUUAUUUGCACCCUCAUUUUAUUUUCCAUCGCAAUUAAGUUCAGCAUUAUCUGGAUUGUCUUGUAACAGCUCACACAGUUUGUCUGUUUUGUCUAAAUUGUCUUAAUCUGCACAACACAUCCAUUUCGAGCUAUUUGUUAUGAAUGUACUACCAUUCCAAAGCCACUCCCCUUCACACUAAAAAAAACCGGAUUGACAAAAACGGGCUUCUGAGGAAGGCUUUAUUUCUUAACAGAAAGCAAACCUUUAAACAAAGUAACAAGGAAGUGCAGACUACACAAAAACUGUCUUCAAACAGAAUCGACAUGUUUCUAUAGCACUUUAUACAGAUUGCUAAAAACAGCUUUACAGAAAAAAAUAAAAAUAAGAAAAAAAAACAGUAGCAAAGUUCUUUGAGUGUUUUUAAUUAUAACUUAGAUUUCAAUUAUAAAGUACCACUAAAGGAGAUAAUAUAGCGGCAUUCAUUUAAAUUAUUCAUGCAACUUAUUUGAAAAAAAGGAAUGUAGCUAUAUUUAGUGUAUGUUUCUGAGCCGGCCAGGCAAUAACUACUUUUAAUGUAAUAAUUUACUGCAUGUUCAAUCUCAUGCAAGAGCUCAAGGCGCUGAAAAUGAAAAAAAAAAAAAAAGACAUGAAAAUAGAAAAAUCACAUGCAAAUUUAAGAAAACAUCUUCAUCAAUUUGACAACACACAUGCUGCAAAUACACACAACGCGACAAUAUACAGAAACACACUGCAAAUACUUGCAACACAACCAAAUACAGAAACGCGCUGCAAAUACACACAGACCAGAUCAAAACAUGUUUAUGGAAACAAAGUGAAGAACAUGCUGGUACAUGCUAAUGUCUACUCUGAAAGGUGAGAUUUUUGUUUAUUUUAACAUCCUGGGCUACGUUUCCCAAAAACAUAAUAAGUAGAUCAUAGACCCAUUGUCACCAAUGGAGCUACGAUCAGCUUAGACUUACGAUGCUUUUGGGAAACGCAGUCCUGAUCAUAAGAUUCCUUUUUCUUUUUCUUUUUUUUUUUUUGACAUUCUAAAUAAGCUAAUGAAAUACCUACACAAUUACUGUAACUAUGAAAGGUUAUGUAAGCUGGCUAACUUACUUCCCUUACAAAAAUGACAACUUCCCUUACAAAAAUUAACCAUGGCUUUGCUAUUAAAAUAAAUAAAUAAUAUAUAUAUAUAUAUAUAUAUAUAUAUAAAAAUACUGCUUUCACUACACUAACCAUAGUUUAAUCAUGAUAUUUAUACAACUGUGGA